rnacentral:rRNA from 1 species
AGAAUCAACGCUGGCGGCGUGCCUAACACAUGCAAGUCGAACGAGAAAGUGGAGCAAUCCAUGAGUAAAGUGGCGCACGGGUGAGUAACACGUGACUAACCUACCCUUGAGUGGGGAAUAACUGAGGGAAACCUUAGCUAAUACCGCAUAAUACCUACGGGUCAAAGGAGCAAUUCGCUUAAGGAGGGGUCGCGGCAGAUUAGCUAGUUGGCGGGUAAUGGCCCACAAGGCAGUGAUCUGUA